CCAGGGUUCCUGCCUCUGAGAGAUUUUAGUAAGAGAGAUGAUCCGAGAGGCUGGCUGUGAGCUUGCAGCAGGGAUGCAAUCUAAUUUAAAUCACAGGACAUUCCAAGCCUUAUAUUGCCUCUAUUUUUGGAGAACUUUCAGCCAUCACAUGGAGCUGGAGUUUUGCACCAAUUGCACAGGCCACCACGGAUACUCUCUCUUGUCCUGACCCUCCUGCUGUGGAAGAAAAACAAUUUGCCCUGCUUGAGGCUAGAGCCAGCAGCACCUCUUUGAAUCCAUUCCUCAUCUUCUCAGGAACUGAAGAGUAUUGAUCAUCCCUUCUCUCUUGUUUAUUUACCUCUCUCCAAAUCCUGGCUGCUAGAAAUGGCUUUCAAUUUGCUCAUCCUUUUUCUCUUAAACACAAAACAAAAGCUAACUGAAAACCGACACAAAGAACUUCCCUGAAACACAUCCCUCCCCAGCUCUCAUACCUGCCUCUCCUUCAUAGCAAAUAGCAAGCAGCGUGGACCCAUUUCCCUUGUUCAGCCCUGAUGCCCAAGGACGGGCCAUCA
rnacentral:lncRNA from 1 species